rnacentral:lncRNA from 1 species
CUAUGCAGUUGCACCACACCUGAAUGGUUAUCACCGUAGUAUAACACAUCUCCAACUAACUGAUCUGGACCAAUCCCUUCCUCUUCGUGUAUCUUCUCCUUACUCUUGUAGAAACUGAAGUGAGGUACUUUUUCUACUUUCUCUCUUUUACAUAGUUCUUUUGUUUUCUCUGAUUCGUCUCCCAUUACCAGAACGAACUCAACGUCGUUACAUGUUCUACUUAGUUCAACUAAGAAAGGAUAUAUCUCUAUGCUCUCUGAACUGUCUCUGCUCGCGUAUUCUACCACAACCAGUUUAUCUUUUGCUGAUUCUAGUGCUUCGUCGAACUCUUCAAUGCUGUGGACACGCUGAACUCUUUCGUCUGAUUUUUCUUUUCUCUUUGCAUCUGAAGCUGCUGUGGCUUUCGUGAUGAAACGUCGCUGAUUCUCAUGAGAGGAUACUCUCAUGUGAGACGAAUGGUUUUUCGUGUGAAAAUUAGGUAAAGAAGAAGAAAGGGAAUGAAGGGGAAGGAACUUAGGGUGGAUUGAAGGAGCAGGGAUUG